rnacentral:hammerhead_ribozyme from 1 species
AUCCAGCUGACCACGAGUCCCAAAUAGGACGAAAUUCGCAUCUUGGAU